UACGUAGGGACCGAGCGUUGUCCGGAAUCAUUGGGCGUAAAGAGCGUGUAGGCGGCUUGCUAAGUCUUGCGUGAAAUCUCGGGGCUCAACCCCGAGCGGUCGUGGGAAACUGGCAGGCUAGAGUGCGGGAGAGGAGAAUGGAAUUCCAGGUGUAGCGGUGAAAUGCGCAGAUAUCAGGAAGAACACCCGUGGCGAAGGCGGUUCUCUGGAACGCAACUGACGCUGAGACGCGAAAGCGUGGGGAGCAAACAGG
rnacentral:rRNA from 1 species